UACGUAGGGUGCGAGCGUUAAUCGGAAUACUGGGCGUAAAGCGUGCGCAGGCGGCGCGUUAAGACAGGUGUGAAAGCCCCCGAGCUUAACUUGGGAAUUGCGCUUGUGACUGGCGUGCUGGAGUGUGGCAGAGGGAGGUGGAAUUCCACGUGUAGCAGUGAAAUGCGUAGAGAUCAUGAGGAAGACCAGUGGCGAAGGCGGGUCUCUGGGCCGAAAUUGACGCUGAGGAGCGAAAGCGUGGGGAGCAAACAGG
rnacentral:rRNA from 1 species